AUGUCAGGUGAUGGAAGAACCAACCUCGUCAUGAGGGGAGUUCAACAUGGGGCUUGUGAUUAUUUGAUUAAGCCUAUACGGGACGAGGAGCUAAAGAAUAUCUGGCAGCAUGUUGUUAGAAAAAGAUAUAACUCCAGUAAAGAGCCUGAAUGCUCUGGUAGCUUGGAUGAUAAUGAUCGGUAUAGGCGAAGAAGUGAUGAUGCUGAAUGUGCUUCUUCUGUAAUCGAAGGCGCAGAUGGAGUGCUAAAACCACAGAAAAAGAAACGAGAAGCCAAAGAAGACGACACUGAAAUGGAAAAUGAUGACCCA
rnacentral:misc_RNA from 1 species